rnacentral:misc_RNA from 1 species
UUAACGAUUUAUAAGUAUUCAGACGACAUAAUUAUGAAGGAAUUUAAGAAGGCUACUGGCGGGCACUGACCAGGUACAGAAGUCCCCGGCGGCCCCUAAAGGCGGGCCCACCAAAGCAACAUGGUAUAGUUAACAAAGGGUUGGAGGUCGGGCCUGGAAGACCCUAACUCGAUAAUGAUCCUUCCGCAGGUUCACCUACGGAACAUGUUCUCUCAACCAUCUCAGGUGAGACCGGUCAUAUUAGAGUCCCUACCUAUACUUUAGGUGGGAUCACCGCAGCUUGAUCUGUGGGCCUUGUGAAAAGGCUGCUGGUACAACAAUAGUUGAUCACAGCAUUUCAGCGGUGUCGUCCUGCUCCAUAAGGGGCCGAACUCCAUGGUUAUUAUAGUCGUCCAUGUCAGGCUUCGGUAGGUUAGAAGGAAAA